UAGUGGCGAACGGGUGAGUAACACGUGGGCAAUCUGCCCUGCACUCUGGGACAAGCCCUGGAAACGGGGUCUAAUACCGGAUACGAGCCGGGGAGGCAUCUCCCCGGUUGGAAAGCUCCGGCGGUGCAGGAUGAGCCCGCGGCCUAUCAGCUUGUUGGUGAGGUAACGGCUCACCAAGGCGACGACGGGUAGCCGGCCUGAGAGGGCGACCGGCCACACUGGGACUGAGACACGGCCCAGACUCCUACGGGAGGCAGCAGUGGGGAAUAUUGCACAAUGGGCGAAAGCCUGAUGCAGCGACGCCGCGUGAGGGAUGACGGCCUUCGGGUUGUAAACCUCUUUCAGCAGGGAAGAAGCGAGAGUGACGGUACCUGCAGAAGAAGCGCCGGCUAACUACGUGCCAGCAGCCGCGGUAAUACGUAGGGCGCGAGCGUUGUCCGGAAUUAUUGGGCGUAAAGAGCUCGUAGGCGGCUUGUCGCGUCGGUUGUGAAAGCCCGGGGCUUAACCCCGGGUCUGCAGUCGAUACGGGCAGGCUAGAGUUCGGUAGGGGAGAUCGGAAUUCCU
rnacentral:rRNA from 6 species